GAUGAACGCUGGCGGCGUGCUUAACACAUGCAAGUCGAACGGUGAAGCAGAGCUUGCUCUGUGGAUCAGUGGCGAACGGGUGAGUAACACGUGAGCAACCUGCCCUGGACUCUGGGAUAAGCGCUGGAAACGGCGUCUAAUACUGGAUACGAGACGUGGCCGCAUGGUCAACGUUUGGAAAGAUUUUUUGGUUCAGGAUGGGCUCGCGGCCUAUCAGCUUGUUGGUGAGGUAAUGGCUCACCAAGGCGUCGACGGGUAGCCGGCCUGAGAGGGUGACCGGCCACACUGGGACUGAGACACGGCCCAGACUCCUACGGGAGGCAGCAGUGGGGAAUAUUGCACAAUGGGCGAAAGCCUGAUGCAGCAACGCCGCGUGAGGGAUGACGGCCUUCGGGUUGUAAACCUCUUUUAGCAGGGAAGAAGCGAAAGUGACGGUACCUGCAGAAAAAGCACCGGCUAACUACGUGCCAGCAGCCGCGGUAAGAC
rnacentral:rRNA from 1 species